UCGGUAAUACCACUCCAUUGUUUAGUUCAACCCCAGCCACAAAUUCACUCUUUUCAACUCCAUUUGGUUCAGGCGCUGCAACAGGAUCUGGGGCUAGCUUUGGACCUGGAUCGAAAAAUCCACGGGCGAAAUCCAGAACUGCUCGACGCUGAUAAGUGUGAUCUGAAAGCAUAAAGUUGAUUGGAAUCUUUCCUGUUGCCGAGCAAAUAAGCAAUUUUCUUGCUCGAAGCAAUGGUUUUUCCUUAUUAGAUGGUCGUAAAUGGUUUUUCCUCUGAAUUGGAAUGUAGAUGUCGCAUUGAGGGCACUGGCACGUAUCGUGGACAAUUGGAUGCGGCCCUGUUUCAGUCCAUUGAGUUCUUCCAUUGGGUAUUUUCUUUUAGCUACUGUUGACCCAUUUUCUUUAACAUUGUAGAUUAAUAUAGGUUAGAUGAUUUUGAAUGCUAUAUGCUGUAGCUUUGCUUUCUUCCUGGUUCCAGGUUGAGUUUGAUACACCCCUCGCUGUUGUAAAAGAUACCAACUGCUUGGAAGAUAUUUGGAUACAUUUUACUGAUAUAUUAUUGUAAACUUGGAGUAAUUGAACUUUAAAACACC